UGCAUAACUUGUGCUCUGCUGUUAAAUCUAGGACAUUUUUGCAAUUUUUUUAUUUCACAGGGAUUGUUUCCUUCACUGAGUUCAGGAAUUCAUUCUGAUGGAAAGAAUGUGUUAAAUAAAAACAAGAAAUGCCAGAAUGCCGCUCGGCUGUACACAUUCUGCUAGAGCACCCUCUGAACAUCUCUGCUGUAUUUAUUGCACCACUGAAUGAGGCCUCAAAAACUGGCUGUUGAUGGAAAGAUUCCUCUUUCUCAGUAAGUUUUGUACCUGCUUAAGAAAAGUUUUUCUUCUAAUACCAUGUCAUUCUAGGUGAUCUUGGAAAUGUAGUAAGAAUAUAAAGAGAACAGAAACAUUAGAGAUCAAAAUUGCAUAGCUGAACCCAUAGGUAGGUGUCCAAGUGAAAGAAGACUCCUUUUCAGAGGUGCAGCAUCGGGGCACUUAAAAUUGUAAUCCCUCAUAUCUGUGAACUUGUGAAUCUUAAGCACCUCAAAAAUAAUAGACUACCAAGCUUAGAUCUCCGUUAAGCCCUUGAGGUUGGCAGUGUUAGCCAAAGGCAAUAUAUGUGACACAAAAUGUGGUGGGUUUCAUUGGUUUGAGGAAAUUUAUAGUAUUCCAAGAUGGUUUGAACUCAAUUUGUCUUCUCAGAUUUCAGAAAGUUCUUCACCUUGUAUGAGCUUUGAAUCAUCGUAUUUGAAGUAAAAAACAUUUUAGAGCAUUAAAUUCAGCCUAUGAUGUAUGAACCAUGAUAUAAAUAACUUAGGGGCCUGUUACCCAGAGUGCGCUCUUCUAGACUGUGUUCAUUCCCUUUAGAAUUACACAAUCCAUCAAUCUUAAGAAAGAUGAUGGAUGAAUGAUGACUGAAGUAAAAGUCACUUGUAAGCUUGCCAAAUUUCAACCACCAUGGCUGAAAUUGUCCCUGAAAGGUAUUUCUCUUGGGGGAACUAUUUUUUUGGUAGAAAACUUUUUGACAGAAGAAGUCAUCUAUUUUCAAGUGCAAGUCUAUGGAAAAAAAAAAAAUCAAGUCUGGAAAACUUUACUUUCUCUUGCCGUGGAAAUGGGUCUUUAGAAGAAGGGUAGCAUUGAUGCAAGACAGCACUUCCCUGAGGUGCAUAGGCAAUUCUCCAGAUUGUUUAUCAACUUUGGGAAUGAUCCAUCUUGUGGCCCAUCCCUGAUCUGUUGACCUUCUCCAGGCCCGACUACCCAAGACACACACCAGAAUGGGGAUCCCAUCUUUGGUUCCCAUGUGUAGUCAAUACCCCCACAAAGCUGCUGCAAAUAAAGCUGCCUAGACAAAAUAUGAAGGAAGCAAAGCUUUGAUGAAAAACUGAGCAAAGAAAAUUGGUUGUAGGUGGAUAAACUAAGAGAAAAAACUCUAGCCUUUCCCUUGAGGACUGCAGUAAAACUAAAUUAGUAAUGUUUGUUGAGUGUGUUGGAGCUGUAAUGAUAAACCGCAUAGAAAACUCUGUGAAGGAAUCAUUAGUUUGGUUGUCAGAGAAGAAUAUAGCAUGCAGUAAAUAAGGCAGGCUGCCACACCUUGAACCACAAGGAAAAAACAAAACACAGUUUCAUCAUUCAGUGAGCACCAUCCAUCAUGAGUUAUGAAUGAGGCAUAGGAAAAAAUGUGUGAUCAUCUAAUAUCAUAAUUCAUGGGGGGGGGGUGCAAAUUAAGGUUGAACAGACAGCCUUAAUUCUGACAUUACCUCAGACUUGAAUGCCUGACUUUGUAAUCUUGAUUUAGUAUAGAAUGCAAAAAAGCUUGGGCUUUUUUUUAAGGCUAGUUAGAAAGUCUAGCCACAGAGUUGCCAUGAAUUUCGGUACAACUGUAUCCCCUAUUUGGCUUUAGAAAGCUCAUCCUGACUUUCCGCAUGCAUUUAGCUACCCCAAAACAUAUAUGCGUAGUUCCCAUAAUACUCUGUUACAAAAACAUUGCCAUAAUUUGCAAACUUUUGCCACAAUUUCAAAAUGAAAUUAUUUUAGUCUACGAUUCAGUUUGUGUGUGUUAAAACCCUAGUUUGCUGCCUCUCUGUAGCAAUAGUUGCCUUAUUUUAAAGGAAAAAUUACAAGUAUUUUCCCCAGUUUUAAGUUGAUUCUUUGCUUCUCUGCCCACAUGAGUAAUACUAACUAAAUUGCCACCAGUGCCUGUCAAAGCUGCUUGGACACUGUGAGUAGACUGAAAGAUGGGUGACCAUUCUGCAGGCUUUUAUCUGGCAGUUUGUAAUGACGGUGUAUAAGGCAUACAUUUCUUACUUCAUUUUUCCUACUGAAUUUGCUAUUCAAAGUCUAUUCCAAAUCCUAACAACAAUUUCUUCUUCAGCUUUUAUUUUCUAUAAAGAUUGGUCAGUCUGCUCUGAAACACACUUUAGUAGCCUUUGAAGACUCAGAUACCACUGGACUGAACACUGAAAGGAUUUAUAAUCUAAAAUUUGAGUUAAAGUACAGUUUUGAAGAGACCAUCAACAUGAGGUUAGCACCACAGAGGAAACAACCCAAGAUGUUCAUGCAUGAGGCAUCUCUCAAGGAUAAACCACAUUAAAGGA